ACAUAACGACUUGGCCCACCCUCCAGCUCCCCUAGCCAACCGACAGGUGGGGCCCAUUGGCUGGCGGUCGUCUUCAAGCUCCCGCCAUGGGGAAGGCAGAGGGCGUCUGGUGGUGGCUGCUGGCGCCUCCGGCCACCAUUUCGGUCGAGCAGGCCACCGGGGCACUCGCGGGCUCGAGUUGCACCCGCCCGAUCCCCCAUUUUUGUCGGGGAACCACCUGGGUGAGCCGGGCUUGGCCACAGCGAGCCGACCGAUGGGUGGUCGUGGCUGGGGCGCUCCUGCGAUGGGAGUAAAGGAGGGUGCAUAGGGGAGGUCCGUGGAGGGUCUGGCGAGCUUCUGGAAGUGCCAGAAGGGAAGGAGGGAGCCGAGAGAGCU
rnacentral:lncRNA from 1 species